rnacentral:rRNA from 1 species
UACGUAGGGUGCGAGCGUUGUCCGGAAUUACUGGGCGUAAAGAGCUCGUAGGUGGUUUGUCGCGUUGUUCAUGAAAUCUCACGGCUUAACUGUGAGCGUGCGGGCGAUACGGGCAGACUAGAGUACUGCAGGGGAGACUGGAAUUCCUGGUGUAGCGGUGGAAUGCGCAGAUAUCAGGAGGAACACCGGUGGCGAAGGCGGGUCUCUGGGCAGUAACUGACGUGGAGGAGCG